CCUUGUCAAAGUCUGAUCUCUUCUGAUCUCAGAAGUUAAGCAAGGC
rnacentral:rRNA from 1 species